rnacentral:lncRNA from 1 species
CUCUCACCCCAGAUUCCUGCCACAUACCUGGCAUUCUUUCAUCCUUAAUGAGAUGAAGGAGUGGGGGAUUUCACUCUCCUGGAAUUUUAGAGGAAUACUAAGUGGAUUUCUCAUGAAAAGCCCCAUUUAGGAUACGAGCUUCCCUGAAAGAUAGCCCAUGACAGUGAACCUCGCUUUUGCUGGUAAUGGAGGAGCUGCAGAUGGGAGUUCUACAAGCAGUGCUACUUCAGUCACAGGAGCCAGCAGCCACCAACAAUUGAUUUUAUCAGGCGGCUGUUUGGGCAGCUCCAGCUCCUGAAUUGGAGGAAGUGUUUUCCUGAAAUGCAGACAGAAAUGCUCCUGGGUUUUCUGGCUCAGGAAAUCAGUCCUCAAAUCUGAGGCUGGCUUUGGAGCCACGGACACCAGCAGUCCCCACCAGGCUGGUAAGAGCCCAGUGAGUCCAGCCCUGCCAGAAGUGAUAAAUUCCUGUUCUCCUGCUCUGCAGACUUCAUGUCCUUGACAGAUUUUUUGUUUCCUGGGCUUUGUCAGAAAAUGCCCAACCAGGCUGUGCCUUCCUUUCAAAAGAAGGCACCAUGACUUAAAUCUAAGCAAAAAAACCCUGGUAUAUUAUUAUAAAUUUACAUAUUAUUUCAGAUCUUCCUGGAAAUUAAAGCAAAUGUUUAUUUUUAAAGUGUUUUGCACCUCCAUGUUUCUGCUUGAAAAUAAAAUGGUUGUACCUCUCCCA